ACGGAAGGCAGCAGUGGGGAAUAUUGCACAAUGGGGGAAACCCUGAUGCAGCAACGCCGCGUGAGUGAUGACGGUCUUCGGAUUGUAAAACUCUGUCUUUAGGGACGAUAAUGACGGUACCUAAGGAGGAAGCCACGGCUAACUACGUGCCAGCAGCCGCGGUAAUACGUAGGUGGCAAGCGUUGUCCGGAUUUACUGGGCGUAAAGGGAGCGUAGGUGGAUAUUUAAGUGGGAUGUGAAAUACCCGGGCUUGACCUGGGUGCUGCAUUCCAAACUGGAUAUCUAGAGUGCAGGAGAGGAAAGGAGAAUUCCUAGUGUAGCGGUGAAAUGCGUAGAGAUUAGGAAGAAUACCAGUGGCGAAGGCGCCUUUCUGGACUGUAACUGACACUGAGGCUCGAAAGCGUGGGGAGCAAACAGGAUUAGAUACCCUGGUA
rnacentral:rRNA from 1 species